CGACAUUCACACAUUUGCGGCAGGUAAUUCCGUGAGCGAACAUGGACCUGCACCACACUGGAAGGUCACACAAGAGUAGGUGGCGCUGUUGUCUAAGCAGAAUUGAGCUGCAUGCGUAUGUUCAUGUAGGUUUUAGACUGCUCUCAGACGUUUUGAGCAAUCCAUUUGUUGGAGAUUUGAUAAUCAGAUGUGCAGUAGCACUUGCGUUGUUUGUGUUGUAUGCAGCCAAGUCACGUGACGAUGCAGAUGCAUCUCACGGUCAUUACAUAGGAGGCGUUGUCAUCGCUAUUGAAAACGUUCUUACUGUACAAUAUACUGGCAAUAUAUUUAUAGGAUUGGCUUUUGUUUCAUUUGCACAGGUAGCCAUGUCGUGUUUACAAUACAAAAAUCGAAUACCACACCUAAACCCAGAUAACAUUUCUAGACGUGUUGCACACGAAUUGCUUGAUGAGAACAAUAACAGACUGGUGCGAAAUCAGCGAUGGUGCGGCAGAUGAUACACCCUAUACUACUCACGUCCACAUAAACUUACAGCCACUUGCCUAUAACAACACACUUGCCUCUAGCGUGGAUCCACCCACUCAAUCACUUAGCUGAAUUUUAUUGCAUUCAAAUUAACUAUUUUUAUUAUAUUUUGUGACUAACGACUUAAAGCUUGAGAAACAAAAUAAAUAUAACUUGAUAAAUCAUAUGUGCUAUUAUAUCGUUUAGCUUAAAAUCCUGAAAAACAAUUUUAUAAAAAAUCUGCAUCACAGAUUAUUAUGUACCUGCUUUCCAUAUCUUUAUCUACAAGAAUCUCUAUUGCUUAUAAACGUUGUCUCUAGCAAUGUAAUCGCCAAGUGUUCUCGAUUAUUGGAAUUUUUAAAAUACUUAUACAAGGACGGCGAAUAUAAAAUAACUAAAAUAAAUGGGGUGGUGCAUUUGUGAAAUUAGAUAUAUAAAUUAGGGGUAUGAAAUAGGUGCGUCGUCUUGGGUAAUGCAGGAUGAUUGUGUUUUAAAAUCAGAGCUUAGUAGACCAAAGGAAGAAUAAUACAAAUUAUCAUUACUACAAAAAUA